CGACCUUCCUCUCCUCCAAGUCACCAAAUACGAGGCAGGAGAGGUGCCCGAUGAGCUCCCAGUCAUGUGGUUCAGGGCGGGCUCUGGAAGACUCACAGAGGAGACUCCUCCGAGAAACCAAGAAGGUUUCUGUCCAAGUCGGGAUCUGCUCUGCUCAGGAUGCUCCUCCAACACACACAGUGAAAAACUGAGCACCUAGAGAGCAACACCAAAAACCCAUGGCCAAUAAUGGAGAGCCAAAUCAGGAGAGCAUUCAGCAAAGCAAUUCUUGCUGUAGAAGGAACAGCACAAAAAGCUGGAAGGAAACUGAGGCAUGCGUGAAAGAUAACUUGUCAGUGUUUGCAGUCUACUGAGAUCCCCGCUGCAAGAAAAGGCAGGAUUUCCACUUGCUUCUUGGCCCGCCUCUGUUGUCCAGAAUCCAGGACAGGUGACAAGAGAAGCAGAUGUGAUCUGCACAAGCUGGCUCAGCUGGGUUGGGAGUUGCUCUUCCUGGACAGGCCGGGAAGGGUGCUGGAGGGGAGGGAGGAGGAGAGAGGUUUUAGGGGAG
rnacentral:lncRNA from 1 species